UCCUACGGGGGGCAGCAGUGAGGAAUAUUGGUCAAUGGUCGGGAGACUGAACCAGCCAAGCCGCGUGAGGGAUGAAGGUACAGAGUAUCGUAAACCUCUUUUGUCAGGGAACAAAGGCGGGGACGUGUCCCCGGAUGAGUGUACCUGAAGAAAAAGCAUCGGCUAACUCCGUGCCAGCAGCCGCGGUAAUACGGAGGAUGCGAGCGUUAUCCGGAUUUAUUGGGUUUAAAGGGUGCGCAGGCGGUCUGUUAAGUCAGCGGUCAAAGCCCGGGGCUCAACCCCGGCCCGCCGUUGAAACUGUCAGU
rnacentral:rRNA from 1 species